GAAAAAGCAGAAUUCUAUUAUACCUUUAUGAAAGGGCUUAUUGCUUGCUUCAGGGAAAUCCUGACAUUCUUCAUGGGUGAACCCAUAUUGUUCUUGGUGAUUGAAGGUUCAGUAAAUCAUGGUAAAUUU
rfam:Vitis vinifera, whole genome shotgun sequence of line PN40024, unoriented chromosome 1, chr1